CCUUUCUUUUUGUGGAUGCGGUGUCUUUUGCUUUUAGGUGGCUCUCCAGCUUCUCCAGUUCUCCUCUUUUCUCAUGAACUCUCUCUCACUGGCUUUUGCAGCUUCUUUAUCUGAAAAGUUGAUGGUGAUGGUGAGAUGUGGUUUGGCAGCUGGUACAUGGUGUUUUAGUGGUAAGUGAAUCGAGAUAGGUUUCUUAUUUCAUUGAGAUUAUACCUUAAGUCUAACUUGUUUUUGCAGUCUCUUUCUUACAAAGGAUGAAAUAGAUCCUCUAUAUUUUGUUCUAUGGAACUAUCUGCUAGCACGCACGUGAAUGUGGUGCUGAUCUCUAAUUAUUGCAUAAUGAUUUUAUAUAUUUAUCACGAGUUUUAACUUGAAGUAUACCUGUUGUUUCCUUUCUGAAUUACUAUAUAAACUUGAAUUUUAGUGUGGGAUUUAAAUUUUGCUUAUUCAACCUUCGGAAAAUCUAAUGUAGUUGCAAUGCAUAAAUUUUGCGUAAAUCAUUUUCAUCAGUCAUUGUUGUAUGUGGUCCUAAUGUAAUUGGUUAAUGCGAAAAUAAAUUGUUGUACUUUUUUAGAAUUAGACUGAGCAUUUUUAGAUGUUCCUGAUGUAGAUGAUGAAAACUAAAUGAAAUUUCUAAUCGAGCAAUAAUUUCAUUUUUUUUACCAUUUAGGAUUCGAAUUUGAGUUUUGUGGUGUUUUUUUACCCUUUUACUUUUAUUUGUUGCAUAAUGGAGGAAGAACAAUGCUUGGCUACUCAAAGAUGAUUGGGAAUUCCUACUCAAAAAUCUUUGUGUUCGAAUCACAGAGCUUUGUGCUUAUAAUCAGAACCGUUCAUAGUGCAAAUCUCUCUGUAAAGAUCAUCUCUACAAAAAAAAAGAAUUAAAACUAAAGUUGUUUGGUCAUUCUAUUGGAGCAAAUACAUAGACGGUUCAUAAUGCUUUUACCAAUUCCGUUCAUUUGUUUUUAUACAGUUCGAUGACUAAACGGCCUUAGAGUUAAUUGAUUUUUUGCAUAAUCGAUGUUUAUAGAGUGAUUUAUAACAUGAACGGUUAUGAUCAUAAACACGAAGUUUUGUGAAUUGGAAACGAACAGUUUUGAGUAGGAACUCAUACUCAUCCCUUGAGUAGCCAAAUAUUAUUCAUGUAGGAAAGGAUGAACAUGGCUAGCAUUGGGUUGAGGAGUAUUCCAUUCCCCGUCGUUGUCCUUGUUCCUCCCAGUAUUUUUACCCUCUUCCCACCAUUGAAUGGUAAACUCUAAAGCUAUCAAGUAUCAACAACCAAAAAAAAUUGUUGCUCACUGAUGGGACAUGAAUUUGUUGUUAAUAUGAUUGAACAAAUCCAUUACUGGAAACAGAAGCAAAAGAUGUGCACAUUGCUUUUACCUACUAACAAGUGGAAGACUUAAGAAUGGAGAGCAACAUUGCUAAUGGCAGUGUGAGAGUGAAGGAUGGAAAUGUGAUUUUGCAGCUGUUGGUGUUACCUUGGUUGUAAGUGGGUUGUGGUUUUUUGCCUAUUUUUGACGAUGUUUUUGUGCUCUUUUCCUUAUGAAGGAUGAAAAAAAUCUUGUAUUUUCGCUAACUCCAUGCGUAGCAGACUAUGCAAGAUGAGGUGGUUAGGUCUUUUCCAUUGUUUGAUCCCACAAGUUUUCUCACCAAAAAGGAACAGAAAUUUUGAAGUGCUUGAACAAUCACCAGAAGUUGAAUCUGAACACCGAAGAUGUGUCCUAGAUGUGUCUGGUUCAACCCGCUUGUAAAUCUUGAAGAGGAUUUGAUUUUACAUUUGUGCUUCAUCACGCGUACUGUCUCGAAGGGUCCCUGGAAUAUUCUACACUUUUGGAUCAGCCUUUGCAGUUUAGCAUCUCAUUCAAGCUCAGGUGAGAUCAAAACUGGGAUCCGCCCCUAUUUAAGGCCUGCGGCCUUUAUUAUUGAAUCAGAUCACUGUCCCAGCUUGGAUGAUUAUGUAUGAAACCAGGUGGUUUGGGAGUUGGGAUGUCAAACGCCCUUUUGAGUUAACCAAAACCUAGCAUAGUCUAUAUGCAUGCAUUAAUUUUACUUGGAUUUUAUGUAGAUUCUAAAAACCGAGACUUUCUUCAAUACUACUACGUAGCGUUGAAUGA